UACGUAGGGGGCAAGCGUUGGUCCGGAAUCAUUGGGCGGUAAAGCGCGUGUAGGCGGCUCGAUAAGUCUGCUGUGAAAGUCCAGGGCUCAACCCUGGGAUGCCGGUGGAUACUGUCGAGCUCGAAUCCGGAAGAGGAGAGCGGAAUUCCUGGUGUAGCGGUGGAAUGCGCAGAGUAUCAGGAAGAACACCCGUGGCGAAGGCGGCUCCUCUGGGACGGUAUUGACGCUGAGACGCGAAAGCGUGGGGAGCGAACAGGAUUAAGAAACCCU
rnacentral:rRNA from 1 species